UUCCCGAGUCCCGGCCCGGACAGCACGCGCCGAGCGCCCAGCCGCCGCCCUCUCCCCUUUCCCCGCCCUCCCGCCCGCGCCUCUCCGCCCGCCUGCCCUCGUGGUCCCCGCUCUCCGCUGCCCUCGGGAUGCACUCGCCCCGCAGCGCGCCAGCCUCCUGGGGUCAGGUGCUUCCCCCCGAGGUUCGAGUCCCCGCUGGCCCUGGACCCCUCGCGUCACUGCCCCAGGCGCCAACGUGCCACGUAAAGGCUCCACGCUCCGCUGCCGCGGGGCCGCACGCACCACGCGCCCGGUCUUGUGCUUCUCCCUGGAGGUCCGAGUGCGCCGUUGCCCUUGGGCCCCUCGUGCCACUGCGGGCCAGGGACUGCACGCGCCUUGCGGCGUCAACUUCUUAGGGACAGCACGUGCCGCGCCAGGUGCCUUUCCCUCCAAGGCCCUGUGCGCCACCAGCCCGGAGUCCGCGUGGCCCAGCUGCCAGCACCCCCAGCCGACGCGGGGCACUCGGACCGGGUCCUGGGGUCCCGAGCCGGCUGAGAGCGACGCCUCACCUCGGAACUGGAUCAGCUGGGCCUUAUGCGCCCCUCCGUGGAGGCGCUGUCCCCAUCAGAACGCUGUGAGUCGGAGGCAGAUGUUGGGGUGACCUGUGGACAGAGGACCCGAGACACUGGUGGAGACCAUGAGUGUGAUAAACGCCAAGGAGCAACGUAUAGCCUGUGAGAAUGGCAGACACGUCGCUGGAGGAGGGCGGAGACGGUACCACGUUCUGCUGGCUCCAUGGACUGACUUACCCAGAGCCCGACUGACAGAUACUGACUGGAAGCCGGGCCACUGUCUGCAGAUGGCUUAGUACAGCAGAUGGAUGCAGGACCUGUAAGAAGGAAAGUUGUUUCCGGUGUCCCCAAAACCAUGUUCUCCAAGGCACGUCCAUCGUGGGCUCUUCUCCAUCCUUCCAUCCGCUCAGACACCAGCUGCCUUUGUUUUCAUUCGUUAAUUUCAUGUAUCCCCCAGACAUGGGGGGUUUGAUGCCUAUGCUGUGUCAGGUGCAAAUGGAUGAACACGCACCUGAUAUUCUACAUGAAUGCAUUCAGUCUUCACCACAGCACUGUGACGAAGGUACACUGCUCCCAUUUUACCGACGUGGAAUCUAAGACUCUGAGAAAUAAAAGAGACAGAGAUCACCAGAUUUAAGUGGUGGAGCUUGGAUGAACCCUCUUUUUCUCCAAUUGUCUUACACAUGCAUCUUAUCUACCAGCUAUUAUAGCAGUUUCUGGAAAAGCAGGAGUUGGUGUCUUGUAUUUUGAGGGAAAGACGUAGUGAGGCCCCCAGUGGGCUCUCAGGAAUAAACAACUAAAACCUCA